GUGCAGUGUCAGCAUACAUGGCUGUGUGGUUAUGUGCAAAGUGUUAGUGUGAAUGCACAUCAGAGAUUGUACAUACAUCAGUGUGAGUGCAUGAUCAUAUAUCGGAGUAUGAAUACUCUGCUUUGUUUUCAACAUUAAAGGAUCACUAUAGUGUCAGGAAAACAAACUCGUUUUUCUGACACUAUAUAAUCCUUGGGGGACCCUCAUCCUCAGGGUCCCCCUCCCGCUAGGAUGAAGGGGUUAAAACCCCUUCAGUAGCUUACCUUUAUCAGCCGCCAGGCUUUCUCGGCACUGGUGACCUCUCCUCCCCCGCCG